rnacentral:rRNA from 1 species
GACGAACGCUGGCGGCGUGCUUAACACAUGCAAGUCGAACGAUGAUGCUGGAGCUUGCUCCAGUUGGUUAGUGGCGAACGGGUGAGUAACACGUGAGCAAUCUGCCCUUGACUCUGGGAUAACUGCGGGAAACUGUAGCUAAUACCGGAUACUUUCACCGGAAGGCAUCUUCUGGUGAUGAAAGAAUUUCGGUCAGGGAUGAGCUCGCGGCCUAUCAGCUUGUUGGUGAGGUAACGGCUCACCAAGGCGACGACGGGUAACCGGCCUGAGAGGGUGACCGGUCACACUGGGACUGAGACACGGCCCAGACUCCUACGGGAGGCAGCAGUGGGGAAUAUUGCACAAUGGGCGCAAGCCUGAUGCAGCAACGCCGCGUGAGGGAUGGAGGCCUUCGGGUUGUAAACCUCUUUUAGCAGGGAAGAAGCGAAAGUGACGGUACCUGCAGAAAAAGCACCGGCUAACUACGUGCCAGCCGCCGCAGUAA